GGCUCCGUAGCUCAGUUGGUAGAGCAGUUGACUCUUAAUCAACUUGUCCCCAGUCCGAGUCUGGGCGGAGUCACCA
rnacentral:tRNA from 1 species